rnacentral:rRNA from 1 species
UAGUCCACGCCGUAAACGAUGGACACUAGUUGUUGGAAUUAUUCAGUGACUAAGCGAAAGUGAUAAGUGUCCCACCUGGGGAGUACGAUCGCAAGAUUGAAACUCAAAGGAAUUGACGGGGGCCCGCACAAGCGGUGGAGCAUGUGGUUUAAUUCGAUGAUACGCGAGGAACCUUACCAGGGCUUAAAUGUAAGUUGCAUGAUUUAGAGAUAGAUCUUUCUUCGGACUACUUACAAGGUGCUGCAUGGUUGUCGUCAGCUCGUGCCGUGAGGUGUCAGGUUAAGUCCUAUAACGAGCGCAACCCUUAUCGUUAGUUGCUAGCAGGUCAAGCUGAGGACUCUAACGAGACUGCCGGUGCAAACCGAGAGGAAGGUGGGGAUGACGUCAAAUCAUCACGGCCCUUACGUCCUGGGCUACACACGUGCUACAAUGGUAGGUACAGAGAGCAGCCACUACGCGAGUAGGAGCGAAUCUAUAAAACCUAUCUCAGUUCGGAUCGG